rnacentral:lncRNA from 1 species
ACUCUGGAAGUAGCAGAGUUGAGUGUCUAAAAUAUUAUUGGAAAUUGCUUUCCAGUGCUGUUUAUGUUCUCUGGCUUCAAGAACAGGCAGUGCAGUGUGAUGAGUGUCAACUAAUAAACAUGACAACUCCAAAAGGGAGUCAUGAAAUGACAGCAAAACAUCUGGAUCGUUUCUUCCUAGAACUUUUAUUGGUCUCUACUAGCAGCUGCAGUAAGAGAGGAGUUACCAGACAUCUCAAUGUUUUCAUCCUGAUCUGUCUCCAGAGGAGAUGCCUUCAAGACGCCUGCAUAUGCUGUUAUACACUUCUUACUGCAACUAAGUAAAUGAACUUAUCAUGGGCAUGAAAUUAUCAUCAGUUCAGCAUCCUGGAGUCCCUUGGGAGAGCCAGAGUAUUAAGGACACACAAGAAUCUCAGAGGUCUGUACCAAAGCCACACAGAACAAAGACCAAACCAAGCAGAGAACAGAAGGGUUUUCCAUUGCAAUCUACUGGUGUACCCAUUUUCUGCUUGUAUAUAUGGCUUGUGGAUACAUGAACAUUUAGGUCAAGGUUAUCUUUGCCUAUGUACUAUUAAAUACCAG